UUAAAGGACAUCGACCAUUGAUAGAAUAAUUAAGGGAUGAAUAUGGAAAGGCCACAGGUAUAGACUGUCCCAUGACCAAGCACAACCAACAAUCUUGAGCAAGGCCAGGGUUAGUUGUAUUAAGCAAUUUAUAAGUGGCAUAAAGGAGGUGAGAGGUCAGAGGAUCUAAAUCCAAUUCACCUCGAUUUUCUGGCAAAGCCAAUGGAUGAUAAGCAAGUUGAGGAAAUAGGAUAUCAUGCAUUUCCUGUAAUUUUUUUUUCUACUUUAAGGGUUCUAGUUUGAUCUUGUGGUCCACCUCCAUCAGACAUAUAGAAAGAGGGGGUAAUAGACCAGCAUAUAGGCUUCCCUAUGGGUCCUAAACAGGGAGCUUGGGCAUAUUUAUUAGAAACAAGCCCCACUGCAGAUGGAGGGUCAGCAAGAUCCCCUCCAAAUGUUCCUUCAUAAUUUCUGGUUAGGAUAGCAGUAAAAUAUGUCUGAUUAUCUGAGAUACACAACUGAUAUGAACCAUAACAGGUACUAUGUAAUGUUUCAACAAAAGAUUGACAGG